ACAGUGGUUAGAUGCCAAGAAGUAGGUGGCAAUGCCUUAACUGUAUGCGUGUUGUUAGGCCCGAGAGCCUCUUCCAUCCUUAAAAAAAUUGCUUAGAUGCC